GGGAGCCCGCGUCCAAGUCCCCGCAGCCGCGGUGGGGACCGGACGCUGGGGGCCCAGGCCCUCGGCCCGCCGCGUUCAUUUCCAUAAGAAAGCCGGCGUGGAGGCUGGAGGGAGGAUUCUGGCCCCUGCCGCCCUCCCCGCCCCACCCCCCAUAGCCGGCUUUCUGCUGGAAGCGGGCUGGCUCGGGAGCUCAGAGUCCCCAGUGUGCGCUCCUGUCUUUGAUGGUAUCGACAAAGUGUGGUUUCACGUGUUGCCCCAACUGAGGCUGGUUUCCUGUCUGUAUGCGGAGUGGAUGGAAGGACCGCGCUGGGCCUUUCUGCCUGCCUGGAGUCAUCUGGAGAGAAAUCAAGUGUGAGCACCUCUCCCGCAGAAAGUGCAAGGUUCCAGUCGACUAAAUGAGCUUGCCUUCUGCCAGGAGGAAGGCAGUCCUGCAAGACAGAACCAAAGUGCCAUUCCCCAGGAAGCUCUUCUUUGUCAGAACAUCCCUGGUCCUUUUGUUUUUGUUUCUGAAUUAAAAAGGUGUGUUUGCCUGCC